AGUUCUAAGAGACGUCUCAAUCCAGAGGUUUGGAAAUUGAGCCUUUCAAGAAUCACAGCGUGUAGGUCUUGGGAAGGACCUAGAGAUGAUGCUGUCUAGAUUUCCCCAGCCUUCUCUUUGAACUUGACCUUCAACCACUGGAUCUUGAACCAGAAAACAGUUGAAAGGACAUAGUGGAGCCAGCGUGGGAUCAAGUAUGAAGACUGAGCUAUGUGCUGACGAGGACUUUCACCUGGGAGAAGAGCUCAUUCUUCCUAUCGUUUCCCUGGGAAGAACAUGGCUGAAACAACUUACUGUACAGACCACAGAAGUGAGACCAAAAACACUGAGAUGAGGAAGAGGUGUGGCAAAAUGGCUUUGUUGUGGUGGAAGAUGAAUUGUCGUCUCAAGGGGGCAGAGGACUGCCUGUGAGCUUCCUUAACAUGGAGCCCGAAACUGGUGUUUGCACAGUCCUUGAGGAAAGGGUUUGC
rnacentral:lncRNA from 1 species